CAGAAAUCUUUCAAAACUGACGCUGUGCUUUUCUGCAGUGCCACAACGGCUCGUAACGGCUUAAAGUCAGUUUUUAACACGGAGGAAUUCUUAAGCGGUCGUGACCCCGCUGGAUUUAAGGGAGAUCAGUUCAGCCUGCAGCGCAACCCGGAGCGCAGGGAAACCGCCUGGGGACAACUUCUUAUCCACUUCUCUGAGAGAGCUCGACGACCAUCCGUGGGACGAACGAAGAGCAGAAAUGAGAACUGGUCCCUGCCCAGUGACCGGGCACAGAGCGUGGAGGCCAGGCCUUUGGGUGCUGCACGUGCCCCUGAUGCCAGCUGCGCUGCUCCUCCUCCUCGGCCCGGCUGGCAACAUCUCUGAGCCUGCUCUGUUGCCAUUCCCAGGUGAGAGUCUCCUCUUAGAGCUGCUUUUCUCUGGAAAGUUUUGUAGUUGAAAAAAAUGCAUUUUU
ensembl:lncRNA